CUGAGAUGACAAUUUCUCCCUGGAGCCUUCAUUUGCUCAUCAUUAGGUGGUCUGUUGCAGAGAACUAGAGGUUCAACUCCUGAUCCAUGGAGACUCACCAGUGCUAAGGGACUUCUGUUCAAUUGGAUCAAAUUUGGCUGUAUUGUGGUGCUGAAGAUGCAAGGUGGGAGAGAAGGGGACGGUGAAAAAAGGGAUGAAAGGAGGAAAGAGGCUGUUUGGGCAGAAAAUGAUGAUCCUUAGCUGCUAACUCUGUCAGCACAAAGAGAGUGGGACUGCAGAUGACCUCCAACACUGAAUAAACCAAAAAGGAUUCAUUUAACGUUUGAGA
rnacentral:lncRNA from 1 species